rnacentral:rRNA from 1 species
UGGCGGACGGGGGAGUAAUGUCUGGGGAAACUGCCUGAUGGAGGGGGAUAACUACUGGAAACGGUAGCUAAUACCGCAUAACGUCGCAAGACCAAAGAGGGGGACCUUAGGGCCUCUUGCCAUCGGAUGUGCCCAGAUGGGAUUAGCUAGUAGGUGGGGUAACGGCUCACCUAGGCGACGAUCCCUAGCUGGUCUGAGAGGAUGACCAGCCACACUGGAACUGAGACACGGUCCAG